CCUACGGGCGGCAGCAGUGAGGAAUAUUGGUCAAUGGACGAGAGUCUGAACCAGCCAAGUAGCGUGAAGGAUGACUGCCCUAUGGGUGGUAAACUUCUUUUAUAGGGGAAUAAAAUGUGACACGUGUGGGAUUUUGUAUGUACCAUAUGAAUAAGGAUGGGCUACCUCCGUGCCAGCAGCCGCGGUAAUACGGAGGAUCCGAGCGUUAUCCGGCUUUAGUGGGGUGAAAGGGAGCGUAGGUGGAUUGUUAAGUCAGUUGUGAAAGUUUGCGGCUCAACCGUAAAAUUGCAGUUGAAACUGGCAGUCUUGAGUACAGUAGAGGUGGGCGGACUUCGUGGUGUAGCGGU
rnacentral:rRNA from 1 species